CGGAUAAUAGCGAUUGGAAAAUUUAACCGAAUUGCCGGAUAGUAUUUACGCCGGCCGCGGCUAUUUUAUUUCCGUGUCUUUCGAUGCGCGCGUCGCCGGGAUAUUUUGCUGGCGUAAAGUUUACGCGGCCCGGCUCCUGCUUCGGCCAGUACAAUCUACGAAGUGGUGCUGAAAACUGACGAACCUGCAAUUUGUCCCGCGUAAUUGCCCGUGGCCCGUCAACGAACGAAGCCCGGGCCCUCCCCCGGUCGAUGACCCUAAAGCGGUCCUGCGAAACCGGCGCGCGAGGUUGUUCGUGAUGUACAUAUACAAUUUUAUAUUCGUGCGUGUCAUCAUUCGAUACUUUUCCGUGACUGUUCUAUGUGUAAACCGAAUAGCCGGGAAAAAGUAUUCAGGCCGGUGCACGUAUUUUAUGUUAUUUUUCCUUCGUAUUGCCCGUCGCGGCGAUAAUAUUUCCGUAUCUUUCGAUACGUUUGCCGCGCGUCGUAGCCCGCCAACGUACGGGUCCCCUGUCCCGGUCAGUAUAUUAUACGGAAUGGUGCUGAAAAACGGCGUACCUACCUAAUAUAAUGUUUGCAAUGACAAAAAAGAAAAAUACAAAUGUGUAAUAGGUACGACCACAAUUCCGUAACGGUGUACUGCACUACUGCUUGAUAUUUGGUAUACGGUAUACGGAAAAAAAAAACCAAAAUAUUAUAAUCAUAUAAAUAAAUAUAAUUAUCAGUCUGUUUGCUGUGUUAACAAUGUGUAUGUUAUGAAAUUUAAAAUGCUAAAAUUUUUUAAUUGAAAAAAAAAAUGAACAAUAAAUAGUUCAAGCUUUGUGCUCAACAAUUGUUGUAGCAUGGACAUUCUAUAAUUCUAACAGGAAUGAAGGUGGAUUAUUUUGAAAAACUGCACCACAAUCGUUGUUACACUGGAUUCGGCUUUAUGUGCUGUUGACAAUAAGUUUAAUCUAGUAAUUGUUCAACAUCAGAGGAGAUACAAUUUUAUGUAAAUAUGCCAUACCUUCCUUUACAUCUUCAACUGGUAAAAGUGCACAGUCCAUUUUUCCACAAAACUAUACUUGUUAGCAUAUAUUCAUGUGUUGUCGACGUCGUUUUAUUUUGUAGAAAACAGUACACGGUAAUCUUACAAAUGCUAUUGACUCUUCUACCUGUAUUACAUAGAGUUGUUGGAAUUGUCUUUGAGAAAGUGAAAAAUUACCACCUUAAAGUACCUGCUAAAUGUUUUAAACCUUUCUCAGUAACAAACAUAAUGACUCGUUCAGAUGCCUUCAGUUUCAUUGACAGAUAGUAGAAGUAUUUGCCUAUAGUGAGAGUGGCCAGUUGUACUUCACUUACCUAGAAAUUCACAUUCUUUUAUUGUUUUUGGAUCCAAUGGAUUUUUGAUUGCACGUAAGUUCCUUAUAGUAAACUGUUCCCUAAAGUAACAUUCUGGCUCUAAUGUUAUUAUCAAUUUCAGAUAUUUCUUGGGCAUAAAUCUGAGAUGGAUUCACACUCGAAUGAGCAGUUUUGAUUUUUAUUUUAGCAAUUACUUUAGUCACUUCUACUUGGGAUGGUGUUUAGCUAGAUGCUCAUGAGGCAUUGUAACCAUAUGUUCGGUUUUAAAAAUUAGACAAUUAAAUUAACUUUUUUAAUAUACGUUUCUAAGUGUAAUACUGUUUUCUGGGAUGUUUUAAAGUAUUAUGAUUAUUAAUAUUGUUAAUUAAUUCAAAAAGAUAAUGGACCCCACUGAACAGGUUCGUGUAAGGGUCCACAAAUUCACAACUUGUAAUAAGAAAAAUAUAACAUUCAGAUAAUGAUUUUAAUUUUUUUUUUUUUUUUACAAUUUUAGACUUAUGCAACUAACUUAAACUUAAAUAAUGUAAAUAACAAUAAUUAAUAUAUGGAGACUUAAUGUAUAAUAUGGUUUGAUAAUAUACAAAAGGAAGCAACUAGCC
rnacentral:lncRNA from 1 species